rnacentral:lncRNA from 1 species
CUUGUUUGACUCUAAAAUUUCAAUAUAGAUAUAAGUUAAGCCAGAAACUCAGAAAAAAAACCAUCAAGCACAAUUACAGGUUUGAGUAAUAUCUCUCUCCAUAACAACCUUAAAUAUAAAUGGUUUCAAUUCACAAAAAAAAGAUAUACAAGCUCCCUUAUUAGAUUAAAAAAAGAAAAAAAAGGAAAAGAAAAAAACUUGAUCCAGCUAUUUGUUCCCAAGAAAUAUACCUCACUGAUGCAGAUACCCACAGAUUAGAAGCUAAAUGAUGCAAAGCUGCCAAGCUGGUCUAGUUGUUCUGAUAAUUAAGGAACUAGUUUUCAAAUGAAAAUUAGUCAGACUAGAUAAAGAAGAGUACUACACAUUAAUAAGAAGAACAAUUCAUUGGGAUAUAAUAAUUUUAAAUAUAUAUGUAUCCAAUUUUAGAGCUUCUGAUUUCAUUUUAUAAAAAACCCAAAAUAAUAGACAUAGAUGAUCAGAUAGGUUCUGAUAUAAUAACAGUGAGUGACUUUAACAUUUCACUUUCAUCAUAGAUAGGUCCUUAAAACUGAAAAUCAACAAAGAAAACUCAGAGCAAAACUACACAAUAGAUCAUGUGAACUUAAUAGAUUUGUGCAGCAUAGUCCAACCAAAUACAGAAUAUACAUUAUUUUACAUGAAACCUUCUCUAGAAUACACUACAUUAUUGACAAAAUAUCAAAUUUUAACAAAUACAAAUAAUAUAAGUUAUAUUCUAUAAUAUAUAUAUAUAUAUCAGAUAAUAGUGCAAUAAAACUGAAAGUCAAUAGCAAGAAAAACUACAAAAACUACACAAACUACACAUGGAGAGUGAUUGACACACCCUCAAAUGAUCAGUGGGCCAUUGAAGGAGAAAACUAAAAUUUUCUUAGACUCAAAUUAAAAUGAAAGCACAACUUACAACAACAGACAGAACAAUUCUAACAUACAAGUUUACAGCUAUGAGUACUUUCAUUAAAAAAACCAAUAGAGCUUAUAUUCAAAUAACCUAAAAUGUAUGCAUGAUAAAAUAAUCCAUAUGAAAAACAAUAGAUUACAAGGAAUACUAGCAAUUUAAAAUCAACCAAAUAGAGACUAAAUAAUAGUACAUAAAAUAAGCACAUAUUAUUUUUGUGGGAGGGAUUGAUAAACCCUGAGUAAAUUAACCAAAAGAAGAGAAAUCCACUCUGAAGUGAGUGAUGAAGAAGGCAGAGGUGCUGCUGAGUACAAUGGAAUCCAGAGAAUAAUGAUGGAAAACUUUGAAAACUUGUAUUGUGAAAUAGUAGAAAACCUAGAAGUGAUGGACAAAUUUUUAAAUACAUAAGUCCUAUCAAAAUUAAUCAUUAUGAUACAUAUGCCUUAAACAGAAUCUUGACAAUCAAGGAGAUGAAGCCAUGAUAAAAUAGUCUGUCAGACCUUACAUCCUCCUUUGGCCUCUGCAUAGAUAUGUACAGGCAUACAUAACAACACAUAUACUUUAAACACACACACACACACACACCACACACACACACACACACACACACACACAAUCUUUCAGUCAAUAAAUGAGCAAAUAAACUGAAUAAAAAGUUCAGAGAAGAAGAAAUAUAAAUGGCCAGUAAGCACUAUAAAAAGCAUUCAAAAUGUUUACCCAUCAAAGAAAUACAAAUUAAAAUUGUUUGGAGAUACCAUUUCACCCCAUUCAGAAUGACUGUCAAAAACAAAAAGCAAAAGCACCAAAACAACAACAAGAAAAAAAUCAAGGUCAGGUGUUGUGGCACUUAGAGGGAAAGAGAGAGGUAGACAGAUUUCUCUGAGUACAAGCCUAGCCUGCAUUGCUUAAUGAGUUCUGGGCUAGCCAGUGAGACAUUGUCUUUAAAAUGACAAAAAAAAUAAAAAAAACAAAACAAAACAAAACAAAACAGUAGGCCAGGCACAGUAUCACCCACCUUUAAUCCCAGCAUGAGGGGGGCAGUGUUAGGUAGAUAUCUGAGUUUGAGACCAGCCUGGUCUACAAAGUGAGUUCUGGAACAACCAGAGCUACAUAGAGGAACUGUCUCUGUCUCUCUCUGUCUCUCUGUCUUUCUCUGUUUCUCUCUC